ensembl:lncRNA
GAGAGUACGAUACCUCAGUCUGUUCGUCAUUUUGGAGAACGAGGGGUAGUGCUCUCCACUCCAAUCCAUCGACUGCCGAGCAUUUUCCAAGUCCAGGCGGUCUGAGCGGGUGUCGGUUUUGCUCGGUGGGGUCGACGAGGUCUUCCGACUAUUUAUUCCAAUAACAUAAUGGGGGCACAUUAAAGCAGUGGUGCGUGUGCUAAAGCACAAUAUAUAGCGUGGCUAUAUUUAGUUGUCGCCUACUUUCCCUAAGAACCCGUCCAGUCCACCACGCGCAUCUGAGCAGCCAGCACGAGGACCUUGGAUUUCUUUGGACUUUUACAAUUUUUGUAUCGCUCCUCCAUGUCCAUACGUCUUUUACACCUCACCUCGCACCUCAUUUCCCCUUCCUCUUGAUCCCCCUCUUUCUCACCUUUCUAUGGAACAUGUACCUGUCCUAAAGCCCUCCUCCAGCAUAACCUAAACCAGGUACCCCACCUGCUUCUCCCCCACCAG